CCUACGGGUGGCUGCAGCGAGAAUCUUCGGCAAUGCGCGCAAGCGUGACCGAGCGACGCCGUGUGUGGGAUGAAGGCCUUCGGGUUGUAAACCACUGUCGUAGAGGAGGCCUAUUCUAGGAGGAAGGACGGGCUAAGUACGUGCCAGCAGCCGCGGUAAUACGUACCGUCCAAACGUUAUUCGGAAUUACUGGGCUUAAAGGGUACGUAGCGGCGCUGUUAGUCGGGUGUGAAAUCCCUCGGCUCAACCGAGGAAUUGCGCCCGAUACUGCAGUGCUUGAGGGAGACAGAGGUAAGCGGAACUGAUGGUGGAGCGUGAAAUGCGUUGAUAUCAUCAGGAACACCAGUGGCGAAACGGCUUACUGGUCCUUCUGACGCUGAGGUACGAAAGCUAGGGGAGCGAAGGGGAUUAGAUACCCUUGUAGUC
rnacentral:rRNA from 1 species